CUUCCUCCUUUCUUCUUCUACCCACAGCAGACCAUGAGAGACAUUGAGAUUGUGAGAGAGAGAUCCACCCGUGAGAGAGAGAGAGAUGAAUUGAGUGAGACCCAACCCGAGUGUGGAGAGCAGUUCUUGGCCGGUAGUGGUGCGAUUUUCGGAGCUGUGGUGGCUGGGCCACCGUCGGGUAGUGGUGGCAGUAGCUGGGCCGUGAAUUCUGGCCCUGUUCCGGCACGUAAGGUAGAGACUUCAAUUGCUCUCCAACGGCGAGUUCAAGGUAACUAGAACAUGGGGGAUAUUCGAGUACUUAGUCCAAUGCAGCCAAACUCUGAUGCUUUGAUUGCAGGUUCAGUG